rnacentral:rRNA from 1 species
ACUCCUACGGGAGGCAGCAGUGGGGAAUCUUAGACAAUGGGCGCAAGCCUGAUCUAGCCAUGCCGCGUGAGUGAUGAAGGUCUUAGGAUCGUAAAGCUCUUUCGCUGGGGAAGAUAAUGACGGUACCCAGUAAAGAAACCCCGGCUAACUCCGUGCCAGCAGCCGCGGUAAUACGGAGGGGGUUAGCGUUGUUCGGAAUUACUGGGCGUAAAGCGCACGUAGGCGGAUCGGAAAGUUGGGGGUGAAAUCCCGGGGCUCAACCUCGAACUGCCUUCAAAACUAUCGGUCUAGAGUUCGAGAGAGGUGAGUGGAAUUGCGAGUGUAGAGGUGAAAUUCGUAGAUAUUCGCAGGAACACCAGUGGCGAAGGCGGCUCACUGGCUCGAUACUGACGCUGAGGUGCGAAAGUGUGGGGAGCAAACAGGAUUAGAUACCCUGGUAGA